GAUGAACGCUAGCGAUAGGCUUAACACAUGCCAGUCGAGGGGCAGCAUGGUCUUAGCUUGCUAAGACUGAUGGCGACCGGCGCACGGGUGCGUAACGCGUAUGCAACUUGCCUCACAGAGGGGGAUAACCCGUCGAAAGACGGACUAAUACCGCGUACACUCCAUCUUGGGCAUCCAAGGUAGAGGAAAUGAACUUCGCUGUGAGAUAGGCAUGCGUCCCAUUAGCUAGUUGGUGAGGUAACGGCUCACCAAGGCGACGAUGGGUAGGGGAACUGAGAGGUUGAACCCCCACACUGGUACUGAGACACGGACCAGACUCCUACGGGAGGCAGCAGUGAGGAAUAUUGGUCAAUGGGCGAGAGCCUGAACCAGCCAAGUCGCGUGAAGGAUGACUGUCUUAUGGAUUGUAAACUUCUUUUAUACGGGAAUAACAAGAGUCACGUGUGACUCCCUGCAUGUACCGUAUGAAUAAGCAUCGGCUAACUCCGUG
rnacentral:rRNA from 1 species